rnacentral:lncRNA from 1 species
GCGGGUCCAAAUAGCUUUGCUAGUUUGGAGGAAUCAGGCGGAGCGAUCAGCUUUCUAGCUUUGGCGCCGUGCAGCAGCAGAAGUCUAGAAAUUCCCCUUCCAGUCCAGAAAGAAAAGAAAGAUUGGAUCGACCAGAUUCUGCCGCGUCACGGACGACGCGGUUCGUACGACGACAGUUUGCUAACCAACCCUUGGUUCCAACACGAAAUUGGUGCGACCGUACGUGCAACCCUCGAGGCGGGACGCCGAUUGGUUCGCACCCCGUGUUCGGCCAUCACCCGUUAGUGCCCCUGACCUCAUCGGCGAAAUUCUUUGACAUGAAGAACAAAGGGACGCACGCAGAGCCGAAAAGCAAAAGAGAAAGGGAUCGGAAAAAGAACAACAAA